rnacentral:rRNA from 1 species
AGAUUGAACGCUGGCGGCGUGCUUAACACAUGCAAGUCGAGCGGUAACGCGGGAGCAAUCCUGGCGACGAGCGGCGAACGGGUGAGUAAUGCUUGGGAAUCUGCCCAUUAGUGGGGAACAACCAGCCGAAAGGUUGGCUAAUACCGCAUACGCCCUACGGGGGAAAGCGGGGGAUCGUAAGACCUCGCGCUAAUGGAUGAGCCCAAGUCGGAUUAGCUUGUUGGUAGGGUAACGGCCUACCAAGGCGACAAUCCGUAGCUGGUCUGAGAGGACGACCAGCCACACUGGGACUGAGACACGGCCCAGACUCCUACGGGAGGCAGCAGUGGGGAAUAUUGGACAAUGGGGGCAACCCUGAUCCAGCGACGCCGCGUGUGUGAAGAAGGCCUGCGGGUUGUAAAGCACUUUUAGUGGGGAUGAAAAGCUCAGGGUUAACACCUCUGGGUCUUGACCUAACCCACAGAAAAAGCACCGGCUAAACUCUAGCGCCAGCAGCCGC